GGGGUGGGGCCGGGAGGCCGAGCUGAGCGAGGAAACUGCCCUGGGAUGGACCCCGUGGCUUUCCUAACCGGCUGCAGAGUCUCAGCUUCUGAGAGCAGUGCCAAGUCAGCCAUGCGCCUCACCGAGCGUCAGCACCGCCCCGCUGGGCGCCCGGAGCCGGCCAGCCCUGGUCCUGGAGGACGGUGCACUCGGGGAAGGAGGUAGGCGGUGCACCGUCCAGUCAGGGGUCUCACUCAGGACACAGGGGCGGCCGGGCGACGGCACAGCUGGAUUCUCACGCCCCACGCCUGCCCCUCUUCAUCUCCCUCCUCUCCACCGCCCAGGAAUCCAGGAAUCGGCCCGAGGCUCCCUCCCGUCUGGGGAACUUCCUGGUCUCCCCAGUUAGAUGCCAGGGUUCCCCUGGGCCUGGCCCAGUGCACGGCUGUCUGACUCUGGACUUGACUCCUUGGGGGCCGACAUCCACUGCGUCUGUCAGCGCCAAGGCCGCUCACUCUCAAGCAUUCAGCAGGAGCGCUGGAGGCCCCCCGAGCUCUGUGCUCAUCCGCCCAGAAGCCCAGGGACGUCCCGAGGUGGCCGGGUGGGACAAGCUCCACCGCCCCCUCCCCAGUGCCUAUGCCCCGAGACCUCGAGUUUCCUCGCCUGCUGGCUCUCUGGGCAGGCUCGUGGCAUCUGCGACGGCCGCUAGUGUGCAAGCAAGACUCGCCGUCCCGGGAGACUCCUCCUGCUGCCUCCCGGCUUGCUCCCUGAUCAUGCCAGCCCGAGGACCCAGUCUGGUCUCGUGGCAGGAGAGCGUAAGCGGCACGGCCCCCUCCCCAACCUCCCUGCCUGUUGUGGGGGUGGUUGGUGGGCGCUGACAGCUGGGGUGCCUGACCCCAUGGCCACAGCACUGUUCCAUCCUGGCUGCCUCGGCUUUGGUCAUUUCCAAUCCCUGUCCCUCCUGCAACAAAUCAGCUAGUUUUUCUCUUAUUUAAAAAUGGUUAAAAAAAAAAGAAAAAGAUUCAUUUAUUUGAAAGGCAGAAUGAUAGAGAUAGGCAGAGGGGGGGAGAGAGAGAAAAAGAGAGAGAGAGAGAGAGAGAAUGUCUUCCAUCUACUGAUUCUACUGGUUCACUCCCCAAAUGGUCACAACAGGGCUGGCCAGGCCAAAGCCAGGAGCCAGAAGCUUCUUCCAGGUCUCCCACGUGGGUGCAGGGACCCAAGCACUUGGGCAUCUUCCACUGCUUUCCUGGGCGCUUUAGCAGGGAGCUGGAUCGGAAGCGGAGCAGCCGGGACUCUGAUACGGGAUGCUGGUUUCGCGGGCAGUGGCUUAACCUACGAGCCA
rnacentral:lncRNA from 1 species